AUGGUUUCCUCCAGCACUGAGAGAACAGCAACUAACAGCAAGGGUUCCCUCAUCUGCAACUUGCAUGCCUUCAGUCAAAGCACUCAGAGCAUGACGAGUGACGAGCAGUUGUUCCUCUGUCACCUUCCCAUCCUUCCCAUGACUCAAUCGCCUCUGCUUUUGCAGCUGGAAGCCCCACUGUCAUGCAGCAUCAUCCCUGGGCCCAUUGCAGGACCUGCCCUGAGUUGGGGGGCCAGGGUUCCCACCCACCGUGCCCAUGUUUGCUGGGAGGGCAGCAUGGGUCCCUCAGUGCAUUGCGCCCAGAGCUGAAGGCAGCCCGGGGCCCAUGUCUUUCUGAUAAAAAGGAGAGAGCCAAUUAAUCCUGGAGCCAGAACAGCCACAGAAGAGGAGACUUCAGGGAGGAUUUAUCGAGCAGUGGCCCAGAUACAUCAAACCGUCUGCAGCAUAACACAGCAUCCCAUUAGGGCUCCUCUUUGUGUAACAGCUUAUGUUACUUAUCCUAUUAGAUGACUGACGCUGCUUUGAUGUAUUCCAAAGAGACUGUGCUAAACUUUCUGCCAUGGUUUUCCCAGGUGGAUUUCUGCUACCUCUGACGUGAGGUUUGUGCCCACCAGGCAGGGUCCUGAAGCGAGGAUGAGUUGUGUGGCUUUGGUCCUUCCCUUUGCUUGGAGGUGUUGUCCCCAGGCGUGCCAGCAUCAUCGCUCUUUCCCUGUAGCUCUGGGCAGGCUCCGUGCUGACCAGGGAGGUUACUUUGCUCUGCUGGGUCUGCUGGGUGCUGGCCUUGUGGUGGGGCUCUCCUGCCUCCAGCCUGGAGUUAAUUCUGCUGAUCCCCAGUUUCUUCCCAACAACAUGAGCUGUUCACCUCAACCAAAAGGUGGAGUAUUUAGCUAAUCAAAAUCCAUUCUGAAAUUAGAGACUGGCCUAUUUCUGUUGGCAUUACCUCACCUACUUCCUCCAGGUCUGCUUAAUGCAGAUUCCCACAAAUCCUCUGCGGUUUUGCCAUGCUGAGGGUCUGCUAGGCAAAAUGAACUUGAACUUUGUUCACGCUGCAGCUGGGGUUUGGCUGAGCCCUGGUGGAGCAGCGGGGCUGGAACUGUUCUCAGAUUAAUGGAACAUUGCUGCCUACCACCUGGGGAGCUGUGAGAUGCGGCCUUGACCUCAAAUAGUUCCUAUCUGCAGGCAGAGAGAAGGGAAGAGGCUGCCAUGAUCAGGUGCUGGAGCACUGCAAAGCAAGCGAUGUUUUGUCAAACUGACAAAACCUGGCACCCACACUGCUGCAGGGCUGCAUAUACUGUGAGUGCAGAUGAAAAUUCACUGGCUUGGAAGUAAAAGGGUGUUAGAAGUGCCUCUUUGGAAGAUGGCCGCAGGGUGACAUCUUCUGUGCGUGAGCUUGGAAUGUGAAAGAUAUUUCUGGAGAGCUGAACCUUACCAAUAAAGCUGGUGAGCUCUGACAAUCUAUGAAGAUGGUAAACUCAAACAACCUCAUGUUGUGUCCUUGUGAACCCAUCACCCCACAGUGACCUCACAUCUGCCGUGCUGUGGGGUGAUGCACACAAACCCAGUGAGGAGUGUCCAUCCAGGAGAACAUGGCAAAGUUUGGGUGUGGAAUGGCACCAAAGCUCGGCAUAGCUGCUGCACUUCAGUGCCAUUAAAUGUGGUUUGGGAUGUGCAGAUAACCCUGCAAAGCUGGGGGACAGCCCGGUGGUCAGUGUGCAGGGAGAGGGAGGGUUAUAACUAGAGAUCCCAGCCAACAUUUUGAAUUUUAAACCCAGUAAGAUUCCAUCUCCAAACAGCCCUUGUCACACUCUGCCCAGUGCCAAUGCCACUUUUCAAAAGCCACAUUCCAACCUGUCCCUCUGCUGGGAGAGAGAAGAGGACAGACUCUUUAGUGGGUCUAUUGUGACAGGAUAUGGGAAUGGUUUCCAACUCAAAGAGGGGAGAUUUAGAUUAGAUGCAAGGAAGAUUUGUACAAUAAGGGCAGUGGGGCACUGCACAGGUUGCCCAGAGAGGCAGUGAUGCCCCAUCCCUGCAGACAGCCAAGGUCAGGCGGCAGGGGCUCUGAGCACUGAUGGAGCUGUGGGUGUCCCUGUGUACUGCAGGGAGUGGGACCUGAUGGCCUUUAGGGAUCCCUUCCAACUCCAGUGAUGCCUUUGGCAGAGGAAACUGGCCAAGGGAACAGGAAAAGACGAUGGUACAGGAAAGUGCUGCAGCACUCCUGCAAAAAGGCACCAGUGCAGCAGAACAUGUGCAAAUAAGGCAAGCUUUGCCUUCUGAAUUAAGGAUCGGGAAAUAGCAAUAUGGUCAUAAAUGUUGCUUUUCAAUAACUGCGCUUGCAGGCAUUGAAUCCAUUGAAACCUAAGAGGAAGGAGAGGUUUCUCCAUGAGUGAGAUUGGAACCAAAAGCCCCUUCCUUGUCGUGAACAUGCUCAUAGAGCCUGUUGGUUAUCACAAGAACUUAGUUCUUGCCCAUAUUCAGAUGAUAGUAGAUCUUUGAGUCCUAUCUUCCCGAUACAUUAAUGUUUGCUUUAAACAAAUCUAAUCCCACUUUAUAACGCCAUAAGAAAGCACAGAAUGUGGCAUUUAUAUCGCAGUAAAAUUUUAUGUGUGUUUGCACAACUACUUGACAGCACAAACAUCGGUGUUUCCUUACGGGAUGCGCUUUGAGGUUUCUUGUGGGGAAAUGGGACCGCUCACCGGUCACAGCUGGGAGAC
rnacentral:lncRNA from 1 species